UCCUCUCAAGUAAUAGAAAUAGUUCUUCUCUCAAGUAUUAUCUCCUCCUAAAUUUCUCACAAAGUUCUCACUACAACCUUCUCCUUUUCCAACAAGAAUGUAUAUGAUUUGUCUGUAACUGGUUUACUUCUGUUCAUAAACAAAAUCCAGCCAUCACAGCUUGUAGAGGAACAGGGAAAUGCUUUAAGAUUUUUUUUAAUUUAGAGAUGCAAAUGAAAUCAUAGUGGUGGCAUUUUCAGUACUAUUACAUUGAUGUCAUUUAUCAUCCUUAUGUUUACAAAAAUUAAAACACAUGAAAAUAUUGAAAUGUAAUCCGCAAAUCAUUGAUUGCUUCUUCAUCUCUAUCUGAUGUAGGAUGAUUGGCAGCACGAAUCGAAUAUGAAGUUGCGAGUAAGAAAUGUUCGACAGGAAUAGUAAAGGUUUGACAUCCGAUGUGAGAAUAACUAUUAAUAUACCUUUUCAAAAAGGGAAUUGGCCCACGAGUGGAACUCAUGCUUUGCCAUGAAGUAUAGGAUUUUUCAGUCAUCCAGUUCAUCUGAAGAUCGAAAAUUAGAUUAUACUAUUUCAGUCCACUUUUAAUAAUUUUUGUUUUAUUUUCUGUUUUGGAUUUUCGGUUCAUUAGGGUUUCUUUAGUAUUUAAACACUUUGUAGUUUGAGAGUUUUUUCAUUCAGUAAUAUUUUAGAGAGUUUUUUCAUUCAGUAAUAUUUUAGAGAGUUUUCUCAAUUUCUGGUGGAUUCUAAAAUCCUAUUUUCACAUAUUGUCGCUUGCAAAUUAAACUUGUCUAUUUUCAACCCCCACUUCGGUCGGU
rnacentral:lncRNA from 1 species